rnacentral:rRNA from 1 species
GUGGGGAAUAUUGGACAAUGGGCGAAAGCCUGAUCCAGCAAUGCCGCGUGAGUGGUGAAGGCCUUAGGGUUGUAAAGCUCUUUUACCCGGGAUGAUAAUGACAGUACCGGGAGAAUAAGCCCCGGCUAACUCCGUGCCAGCAGCCGCGGUAAUACGGAGGGGGCUAGCGUUGUUCGGAAUUACUGGGCGUAAAGCGCACGUAGGCGGCUUUGUAAGUUAGAGGUGAAAGCCCGGAGCUCAACUCCAGAACUGCCUUCGAUACUGGCGAUCUUGAGUCCGGAAGAGGUGAGUGGAACUCCUAGUGUAGAGGUGGAAUUCGUAGAUAUUAGGAAGAACACCAGUGGCGAAGGCGGCUCACUGGUCCGGUACUGACGCUGAGGUGCGAAAGCGUGGGGAGCAAA